rnacentral:lncRNA from 1 species
AAGAAGAAGAAGAAGACAAACGGGACGGAGGAAGAUGAAUGGGACAAGAGAGCAAAAUCGUUGCAUCGGUAAUGGCCGCCAUUGUGGCUUGAUGAGUCGACCGCUUAUUUCACUCUUUCACUCUCUCCCUCUCUCUAUUUCUCUCUUAUUUGCUCUCUUGAUGUUUUCGCGUGCGAACGAGCGCAUAGGUCCGAUUCAGUCGUAUAUUCGACAACGAAUAGGAUACGAAUAGUUUGAUAGAAAAGAGAGAGAGAGAGGAACAAAAGAAAGGGUUAUAGAUAAAAAGUAAAGUAGCUUGAAAACUCUGCUAGCAGUUUGGUAAUCAUUUCGUGCAGGAGAGUAACUUUAAGAUUAUGCUGAACUUUUGGUUACGAAGGAAUAUACAGGUUAACCCUUUUUAUAACGCGGUAAUAGAUAGGCUUCUAGAAAAUCUUGAGUAAAAUCGUGUUAUAUUCGCGUCAUUAUUUUAAGCUAAUUUAGUUUUUAAAUACGUUAAAGAAUCAAUUGCUUAUAACAUAGUGGUGCAUUAAAAUUUUCGCAAUUUUUUUAUUCCGUUAGAACGAAACCGUGUUGUAGGUGAGUUAACUGUAACUGAAAGAUAAAAGGAAAAAAGUUGCGAGGAAAAUAUUUAUACGUAUGUAUGAAUGUAUGAUCUGUUCGAGUUAUUUUCUAAAGACGUGCGA